rnacentral:rRNA from 1 species
UACAUAGGGUGCGAGCGUUAAUCGGAAUUACUGGGCGUAAAGCGCACGUAGGUGGCGACGUAAGUCGGGUGUGAAAGCCCCGGGCUCAACCUGGGAAUUGCAUUCGAGACUGCAUUGCUGGAGUACGGAAGAGGAAGGCGGAAUUCCCGGUGUAGCGGUGAAAUGCGUAGAUAUCGGGAGGAACAUCAGUGGCGAAGGCGGCCUUCUGGUCCAGUACUGACACUCAAGUGCGAAAGCGUGGGGAGCAAACAGG